UCUCAGUUCGGAUUGGAGCUGCAACCCGACUCCAUGAAGCUGGAUUCGCUAGUAAUCGCGCAUCAGCCACGGCGCGGUGAAUACGUUCCCGGGCCUUGUACACACCGCCCGUCAAGCCAUGGAAGCCGGGGGUGCCUGAAGUGCGCUGCCGCAAGGAGCGCCCUAGGGUAAAGCCGGUGACUGGGGCUAAGUCGUAACAAGGUAAC
rnacentral:rRNA from 1 species